AACAAUAAGCUGUUCGUCCCCCCCGACGUCCAACUUUUGCAAACACACCCCCGUGUACCUCUCCCCUUUUGCUUCCCCGGGGCCGCCCAGUGCGGUGCGCCCCGGGGGAGGUCAGGAGGCCAGGCCGCUCUGCGCGGCCGGGCCCCGGACGCUCUUCCGCAUUCCGUCUGGAUGUCUGUCUGAACAAAACCUAAGAAAUAAUCUUAAA
rnacentral:misc_RNA from 1 species